AAAAUUGACAUUGGAUUGUAGGAGAUGCAAAAAUUGAGAAGGAUGGUGCAAACAAAUGGGCAAAUCACUACAGUACUAAUAGUGUCCAUAGUGUUGGCAGCUACGGUUGCUGCACAUGUGGAGAUUGGUGAAGUAGGUGAGUACUUGCAGAAGCGUGCACAAGAGGCCCGCCUCAAGAACCAUGGAGGACCCCUCCACGAUCUUGUCAACACAGCAACUCGUUACCACCAAGACCUCCUCCACAGGGCUCGAAGGUCUACAUUGGAUGAUGAAGCAUAUAUGCUGAAGGGAUCUACUACUCCUAGAGAUGAAGCCUCAAGUGUUAAAAGUGGAGAUGAUCAUCAAAUAGUACAAGAUCACAAUGGCAUCCAAGUUUGAUUUAUUAUAUAUCUAGCUUUGUUCUCAUUGAGCAAGAAACAGAAAUCCCAUAUACUACAACACAUCGCAUCCAGUGGAUGACAUCCAUGUCUAGUUCGACUGUACUUCAUUAACUAUACUAUAUCUAUGUAUACACAAUGGUACAUACCGUGAUUCAUGAUGAUACAACGAAUGGCCUACGAGUGCUAUAAUCGUUAGUCUAA